UGUUUCUGACCCUCCAUCCCCACCUCCAGGGUUCAGCUGCCUGGUUCUUGUACAGCAUUGCUGCAUAACACUGGCUCAGAUUCCUGAGGAAAUUACUGACUUCUAAGAAAGAGCCAUGGGAAAGUUCAGAGAAGAGCCAUGAAGAUGGGAGAGUAUUUGUAUGAUGAUCAGCCACAGGAAGGCCAAGGGGCUUGUCUUCUCCCUUUAAUAACAGUGAGCAGCAUUUCUUGCCACAUAAGAUCCACUGAUAACAGCAGGAUGAUUUGCAGAGUAAGGGACCACAGCACAAUGCCACCAGUGGAGCCAGAGGGGCUGAGAACAACCCUGUCACAGUGACUACCUCUUAUGGACCCACGUCCUAAAGGGUUCCUUCUUGGUAUCUAGCUCUCCCUUCCAACCACAGAAGUCACAUUCCAAGUUUAAUGUUCAUGACUCAUGAUCCCAACACUGCCAGUGCUCAGAGCUGGGGGCUGUACAAUUUCAAAUUGUCCAUUUG
rnacentral:lncRNA from 1 species